CAAAAUGUAGCUUAGUAAAAGCCCCCCGCUUACACCGGGAAGAUAUCCGUGCAACCCAGAUCAUUUUGAG
rnacentral:tRNA from 1 species